GACGAACGCUGGCGGCGUGCUUAACACAUGCAAGUCGAACGGAAAGGCCUGCUUUCCCUUGUGGAUUGCGGGUACUCGAGUGGCGAACGGGUGAGUAACACGUGAGUGAUCUGCCCCCAACUUGGGUAUAAGCCUGGGAAACUGGGUCUAAUUCCCGAUAGGACUGCAGGGUGGUGCCUGUGGUGGAAAACGAUUUUCUAGUGGUUGGGGAUGAGCUCGCGGCCUAUCAGCUUGUUGGUGGGGUAAUGGCCUACCAAGGCGGCGGCGGGUAGCCGGCCUGAGAGGGUGGACGGCCACAUUGGGACUGAGAUACGGCCCAGACUCCUACGGGAGGCAGCAGUGGGGAAUAUUGCACAAUGGGCGGAAGCCUGAUGCAGCGACGCCGCGUGGGGGAUGACGGCCUUCGGGUUGUAAACUCCUUUCGACCGCGAGGAAGCCACCUGGUUGGAAGGGUGGUGACGGUAGUGGUAGAAGAAGCACCGGCUAACUACGUG
rnacentral:rRNA from 1 species